CGCUGAGCCACCUGGGGGCCCGGUCUUGUGCUCUCGCUAAGGCGCGUCAGGAUUCCCAGGUGCCCGAGGGAUGGAGCGCCGGGCGUCUACACCGGGUGCUUCCUAGGAGCCCAGCGUUUUGAGAAUCCGGGAUCCGGAAGGUCUGAAGCAACUGAAAUGGGUUUUGGAUGCCACAAAAAGAUCUCACCCGAACCCUGUGCAGCUCGGUGAAAGUGCAAGUCUAGUGCUGGAUGUCCUUUCUCAGUGUGCUCCCAGCACCCUGGGCUCAAUUCUGUUUAACUCCCCACUCUGGGCUCUAACUGCUUCCUGCUCCCAGAAGAGCCCUGUGGGAUCCAGGCCAGUGUCUUAACUGAUUUCUGCGUCCCCAGCACUGCGUGGAGCCUGGCACAAGGUAGGAAUCUAACAAAAAUUUGUUGAAAGAAGAAAUACAGAGUGAUGAGAGUGGCCGAUAGAUACACGAACG
rnacentral:lncRNA from 12 species